GCGGGAAUAGCUCAGUUGGUAGAGCAUCACCUUGCCAAGGUGAGGGUCGCGGGUUCGAGUCCCGUUUCCCGCUCCA
rnacentral:tRNA from 1 species